rnacentral:lncRNA from 1 species
GCCACAAUAAACAAGGAAGCAUCAAUUGACGUUAACCGUAGUUACUACCACAAGCGGUAAAUGUAACAAAUUGCAGUGUCAAGUGAAUACUGCAUUACGGAUGGUGAUAUCUUUAACAAUGAAGAGUGAACGUGAAUGGGGACCGAGUGGACAGAAAGUGGUGGACAUUACCAAGUCUAGGAAGGAGAAAGUAUAGCUGCCAAGUUCACAGUGAGGAAGGACAUGGCAGCUGGCAGUGGUGCAGGAGCAGCCAGCGUGGGCA